ensembl:lncRNA
AAGGGCUUGGCCCUUUCUACAAAGCUGAGUCGCUGGGUGAAUCCUGGUUACAACUCACAACUGAGUCAAGAAGCCAAAACCAAAUUGCCAGGCCCAGGAAGCAAUCAGAACAUGAGGAAAAAGCAAAGAUAUCACUGGAAAAACAGAACACACCCAUCGACAAGAUGGCGGAGGGAUUUCAAGACCCCAGUUGGAGCCAAAGUUGGUGAAGGACAAGGAGACCCAGGCGUGUGCAUAGUACCACAAUUUCGCUGGAGGGAAAUUUUUCAAGAACGUGAAGCACUGUAGUACAAAAGCCUGCCUAGGGACACCAGCACCUAACCCAAUAUGCUUUAACAAAUGAGUAAAGGAAGAAUGCCAAGAUUUCCAGCCUGCAAAGCUUCGCCUCUGGGGAAUCUAUGGCCUUCUUGCAAGGGAUCUUCUAGUUUAUAAGCUCACCAACAUAAUUUGAGAUCCAGUGAAAAUGCUAUUUUCACCAUAUGUAUAUGCCACCAUUUUCAAGUGUAUGUAGAUUGGUUGUGACUAAUAAAAUACAAUAAACAAAUUAUAAAUUUAUCAUUUGUAUAUGUAUUAAUAAAAUACAGAUUCAUUUAAAACAUUACCAAAAUUGAGUCAAUUGUCAACAUCUAUUUCUUGAUCAACC